AACAACAAUGAAGGGGAGUGGUACACUCACCGAUUCAACUUCAAAAAGUUUCACUUCAGAUUGGCCUUAAUCGCCAAGAAACCCUAAAAUAAUCAAAAUAAACCAAUUGAAGGUUUUACUUCCAGAAUCGAGUAAACAGAAUGCACAUGUGAGGCUCGACUACCAGUCGUAUACCUCGCCAAAUAAUUACUAAUGCAAGGGUGCAAAACAUGAUUUUCUUGGAAACAAAAAGGUAGCAUGAAGACCUAGGCGCAAACAACCCAAAAGCCUUUCAUUCUACCAAAAGGCAAAUCCAACUUAAAGAACCAAACGGCCUAGAAAAUCGGGCAGCACUUCCCCUAAAUUUCUUACUUUUCCAGCCAUUAAGGCUUCAUUAUUUACUCAAAUCAGUCCCAACAACUCACACAAAAGUCAUCUCAUUCCCAAAAGCCGUUCACUACGCUCAAAGUAGUACAAGUACAAAAGUUAGCUAGAAACUGACCGGAAUAAGAGUAAGCCUGAAAAC
rnacentral:lncRNA from 1 species